AGCCCGGACAGGUAAUCAUUUAACAGACCUGAUUAAUGAAUGUCGGAGGCAGUGAUUCUCAGCCUCUGGAUUUGUUGUUUUAAGCAGUUACGAAAGGUGCUCAUUUGGCUAAACUUUGACCUAAUUUUGCCUCAAUGCAAAAAGCGUCAUAACUUGUGAAUAUGUGAGAAAGGUUGAGCACGAUGAGUGGCUGGAACCGGGAACGCUCAAGGUAGUGACAAGCAAAAGAGUCCAACACACCAGGUCCGAUCGCACCUAUCAGUUGGCUGUGAACUGGAGGCUUGUCCAAGGUUGCUGGAUCAUUUUAAUAUGCUAGAAGGCCCCAUAAGGCACUGUGAGUUUGGCACCUGGCACAGACAUAAGCUCGCUCAGGGUACAGAGCUGAAUUGGAGAUGGAGUCACUUCACACCUCUGCCACAGGAUUCAUCUCUCAUUCUCCGCAGGAAUAUUGCUGCGAAUGGUGAAAAUCAGGUGUCUCCCGAAGAAAUGUCCUUUGCAAAAGAUGAAUUAAACAACUUAAUCUGGUAUCUUCCAGAUAAGAUGCUAAAAGAUAUGCGUCACUGCAUGGAUGCUUUGGAUUCAAGGCUUCUAAAAGGGCACCUGAUGAAAAGACACCCCCAAGAGUCAAAGUGUAAUUCAAACCCUGUUCCCAAGGGAUCGAUAUCUUUUCUGAAAUUCUGAAUGUUUCACGCUCCCAGGGAAUCGGGGAACAUGCAGCUUCAAAACUGAAACCACAUAUAAAACAGGGAUGAAGGUUGGAAAAUUACAGCCCAGUGAUCCGUCCUUCUGAAGCUGUUACAUGAGCCCUGGGCCCAAACCAAAACCAUUGAAGUCAAUGGGAAACUUUCUGUUGAUGCUACUGGAGGCUGGAUGAGAGCCCAUCCAGGAUGUGCAGGGAAAGUACGUGGUGUACCAGGCACUGACUGGAUUGCACAGGCUCUCCGUUCCCCAGAGCCUACUGCCAAAAAGCAGAGGACGAUGGGAACCAAACUGAAGGCAUUCAUACCUUUGAAGAUCAAGGAUAUUUAUGAUGGAUCACAACUGUGAUAUUCUCAUUACAAGUAAUCUAUAUGGAAUGAAUAUGAAGGAUCUCUAGUCCAUAAAGGACAGCAUAUUCAGAAUUAAGGUGGACAACCUGGACUGGUGCUCUGAUCUUAACUUAUGCCAAAGUGCAAAAAGUAGAUUGCAAAAGCCAAUCAAGCUGCUUGUCCUCAGUAAAAGCCCUCAUUGGACCAAAGUUUGCUGCCUCGUCUUGGUCAAGCUGGCAGCCAGAAUUUGGCCCAUUUACUUCAAAUUUUAACUGCAUUUGUUUCCUAUUAUGCAUUGCUAGAUUCUCAGCAACAAUUUCUCAGUGUUUGUAGCUGAAUUUUCUUUGUCUUUACAUAAUGAUAGUUUGACAAAAAGUUGUGAACUAUUGAAAUUCCAUAAACUUCUUAAUUAGUAAUGGACCAUGCAGAAUAAGUUUACCCUUCCCUUUAAAAGAUGUUUAAAAAACACACAUGGUUCAUGACAUUAAUGCAUGUUCUUGGUCAGCUAGUGUGAAAUGGAGUAUUCGGAGUAGUGGGUAAGAAGCCGUCUGGUUAUACUUAGAUGUAGAUAAUACAGUAGACAGUAUUGGUAAUUGUAGAGAUGGUUUAAUCAAUAGACCAUAAUGAGCAUUGCAGCCUCUAUAGUGUCAAAACUUAGUUAUUCAGUUUGUGGAUCACUGAUCCAAGUGCUUCCCUUGAAUUCACUGAAGCUAAACUGAAGCGAUAUUCUGAACUGGAGUUACCAAUCCUUGAAAAUAUCAGUUUGAAUUAUAAUAAUGGCAGACCCUUAAUAAACAGUGUGGAUGGUGUUAAUAAUGCAAAAGUACAAAGCAAGACAGACUUGACGCUGAUGACUGCUGGAAGUGCAAAGAAACUCAUUAAAAUGACCUAAAGGAAUCUAUAUUAUUUUUAAAAUGUCUUUUUCUCACUGCCCCUCAACUACCUAUUGUAAUGACAUACACCACAGCAAUCUGAAGAGAUUUUAAUACAUGCAAGAGUAGGAGCCUGCAGCUGCCAUUGACUGUACACCAUGUAAUAUCCAAUUGAAAUAUUAUUCCCCCAAAUCACAAAGGUAUAUAAGCAGUAAAUAAUUGCUUUGGCUUUGAGAUGUCCUCUUAAGGAAAAAAACUUAAUGGUUUAAAAUUAUUUGCAUUUAUAAAUGGUAAAAUACAGCGAGAUAAAUCUUACUGCUGUUUUGUGUUGUAUUUUGGUUUUUACCUUUUGGCUUAUGCCUAAGGGGUAACUUGCUUUUGGCAAAAUAGGAAUGAAUGGGCAUUGUCAGAGGAUAAGGCCCUGUACAUUUAAUGUCCUAAAAUCAAUAUGGUCAUGAGAUUCAUUUUUUGUGUAUGCAAUAUUAUCUUCCUCUCUUACAGCUUGUGCCAGGUACUGGACCCCUGAACCCACAGGGAUCUCCAGUGGUGAUGACACUGUGCGGGUGCCCCCUUGCAACAUGAUCGUUAGAUCUUUGGCUCUUUCGUGUAUGUUAUAUUGCACCUACCAUUAUUAAUAGGAAUAAAUACAAUUAAAUAAUAGCUUUGCAGAAAAUGAAAUGCAUGUUUCCUGGAUGUACAGUAGCUAACUGUAUUCAGUAACACAGCACCCUGUUUAAGUGCAUAUGCUGGAACUGAAAUAAUGCUAAGCAUUUAUUCAAGAGUAUGAACUUUCUGGAACUUAAUUUAAACCAGUGGCGGCCAAAAAUUAAGGCUGCACCUUCCCCAAGUGCUACUCUAAUCCCUUUCCUCUGCCUGAUCUGCUGCUCUGCCUUCUGCUCCCUACUCCAUACUCCUUGUUGGAUCUACUGCUCUGGUCUCUGCUUCCUGCUUGUGCCCACUGUACGAUCUCCUGCUCUGCUUUCUGCUUCUUCCUAUAUCCACUGUCCCGCGUGACCUCCUGCUCUGCUUUCUCCUUCUUCCCAUAUCUGCUGUCCUGCACGAUCUCCUGCUCUGCUUCUUCCCAUAUCUCCUGUCCUGCCAUGUGCCACACAAAGAAGCUGCUCUUGGCACAGGUUGGCCACCCUGGAUUUAAACCACAUUUUGGAGUACUCAUCCCUGUUCCUGUUGUAGCAGGAGCCUGACAAGCCUCUGUCUUUUUCCGGGCUUCUAAUGGUAGCAGGGCUGCUUACGAAGGGAGAUAGUCAGUUUUAGAGCUGCUGUGAGAGUCCUGGGAAGCGAUAGCAGCCCUAAAACUGACUGCCCGAAAACUGACUCCCUCCUGUCAUUUCCAAAGCCGCUAAUCCCAGCCCAUGGCCGGCUGCUUCCCCAUCACCCUUUCUGCGGCUAAUUAUGAUGUAGCUAAACAGAGCUUAACUGCCUUACAAAGCAGAAGGUGGAGCAGAAAGAUGCUGUGCCCUUAAGCAGCGCACACCCUUAACUGAUAGGCAGAUGGUGGAGGUUGGUUGCCAAAAUCUAGAACGCUUGGUUCCAAAACGCUACCUUUUAUCAUUUAACCAACUGAUAAACUGCAAUUUUAGACCAGUUGCAAUUUUAGACUCAGUCGGUCUAACUGCAACGUUAACACUCAUUGCCGUUUUAGACUCAGUUGGUCUAAUACCAGUCGGUCUAAUCGGACCAAUUGCAAUUUUAAACUCUGCACCGAGCCAAGGCUGUGACUCAGUCGGUCUAAUACACUUGCAAUUGCAUUAGACCAGCUCAGCUGGUUUCAUAAAAGGCAUCAUCUCUGAACCGAAGAGUUCUCGAUUUUUGCAUUUCUCUUGGUCUCAGAGCAACACGGCGACCACGAUACAUCCCUGAUCACGGAUGUUUGCACCUAAGCAAUUAAAAAAAAAUUGUACUGGUACUGCGUGAUGCAAUUAAAAAA